GACGAACGCUGGCGGCGUGCUUAACACAUGCAAGUCGAACGGAAAGGCCCUGCUUUUGUGGGGUGCUCGAGUGGCGAACGGGUGAGUAACACGUGAGUAACCUGCCCUUGACUUUGGGAUAACUUCAGGAAACUGGGGCUAAUACCGGAUAGGAGCUCCUGCUGCAUGGUGGGGGUUGGAAAGUUUCGGCGGUUGGGGAUGGACUCGCGGCUUAUCAGCUUGUUGGUGGGGUAGUGGCUUACCAAGGCUUUGACAGGUAGCCGGCCUGAGAGGGUGACCGGCCACAUGGGGACUGAGAUACGGCCCAGACUGCUACGGGAGGCAGCAGGGGAGAAUAUUGCACAAUGGGCGGAAGCCUGAUGCAGCAACGCCGCGUGCGGGAUGACGGCCUUCGGGUUGUAAACCGCUUUCGCCUGUGACGAAGCGUGAGUGACGGUAAUGGGUAAAGAAGCACCGGCUAACUACGUG
rnacentral:rRNA from 1 species